UGGAGUCACAAGCCUCUG
rnacentral:snRNA from 1 species